AUCAAUGGUCAUGUUCAGUCACAGAGGAUCUAAUAACGAUCGGGGUGAGACAAGCGCUGAGAAAGGGAGGAAGUUCAUAGACUACGCUACAAAACUUGGUUAUGAUAGAAGACUAGCGGAGAUUGCCGUACAAAGGUUGGGAGGAGCCGCCAGCACUAAUGACUUGUUGCGGACAGUUAUCAACCUCUACAGCGAAAAGAAGAAAAUAAGCGGCAGCAGUGGGAGUAAGAAUGGUACAGGAACAAAGCGGUACUGAGAAAUAAAACAAACAACUAAACAGAUCUCAGAAUCCUGUCCUAUCAAACACAACAGGGUGCUUACGAACAUGCUAACAUGCAAACAUGUGAUCAAGCGAACAUG